AGCAAACUUAAAUUGCAUUGCGUGCGCUGUUACGACGCUUGUUCUGAGGUCUUUAUUCAUGUACUUGUUACCCAGCUGAGUAGUUUCUCUGAAUUUAAUCAAUUUGCCUGCGCAAGAACCUACGUUUUGCAGAAUCAAACCCCAGAUUUGUGUUGCGGGCUUUAGAAAGCGUAACGUUGCUGUAUAUGCUGCACGACAGCUGUCAUUUCUACAGUAAUAGUAUAACCUAUUGAGAGCUGCGACAUAAACACUGUCACAGUGGAUGCGGAUGCGUUCGCGACAAAGAAUUGCAGCGUUCAGCGCCGGAGGGUUUGGCGCUGCGUCUGAGCAGCCGUUCUCUAACGCUCCCAUUAGCGUCUCCCACGCUCACGUUUACCUCGUUUACUCGCAUCCCGAAAUGUCCAGAGCAGUGCGCCUCCCCGGCAAUCUUUGCUGAGCGUGCUCUUCCCGGGUUGGAAGCUAUGGGCUUGGCCGUGCCUGAGAACCUGAGCAGACCCCAGACGAGCAUGCUAAAGGGCUCCUCACGAUCCUCAGUUUGCUGUCUGCAGAAGGGCUCGCCCCGGGCUGUGUUGGGGUACUUAAUUCACUUUUCGUCUUGUGCGUGAAAACGGCUCCAAGAGAUUCUCCUCCUGCGGCAAGAGAUCUGGAAAGGUCUGAAAGUUUUCAGAGACUCAGCAGUGAAGGUCAUAAGAGGGACUGGAGUUUUGGCCCAUGCAUCUGCUCACUGAAACUCGGUCAUCUCAUAUCGAGGACAACAAACCAGCACCAGUCUGCAAGAGCACGGCAACGCAGAACCCAGAAAGAUCGUUUUUUAUUAUAUGAGCAGAAGCUUUUGGCUGCUCGGGAGUUCUCCUCUCUGUUGCAUGUGAAACUGCUGCAAAGGGAAUUAAUCACUGAGACAGCGUGA
rnacentral:lncRNA from 1 species